UACGGGGGGGAGCAAGCGUUGUUCGGAUUUACUGGGCGUAAAGGGCGCGUAGGCGGCCACCGCAAGUCGACUGUGAAAUCUCCGGGCUUAACUUGGGAACUGCGCUCGAAACUACUUGGCUAGAGUGUGGCAGAGGGAGGUGGAAUUCCACGUGUAGCGGUGAAAUGCGUAGAGAUGUGGAGGAACACCGAUGGCGAAGGCAGCCUCCUGGGCCAACACUGACGCUCAUGCACGAAAGCGUGGGGAGCAAACAGG
rnacentral:rRNA from 1 species